GAUUAAAUGGCUGAAAAUUUAGGCAAUAAACUGUAAAUUUAUUUAUAAGAAAAAAUUCUUUUUAAUCA
rnacentral:tRNA from 1 species